AGUGAACGCUGGCGGUAGGCCUAACACAUGCAAGUCGAACGGCAGCACAGUAAGAGCUUGCUCUUACGGGUGGCGAGUGGCGGACGGGUGAGGAAUAUAUCGGAAUCUACUUUUUCGUGGGGGAUAACGUAGGGAAACUUACGCUAAUACCGCAUACGACCUACGGGUGAAAGCAGGGGAUCUUCGGACCUUGCGCGAUUGAAUGAGCCGAUGUCGGAUUAGCUAGUUGGCGGGGUAAAGGCCCACCAAGGCGACGAUCCGUAGCUGGUCUGAGAGGAUGGUCAGCCACACUGGAACUGAGACACGGUCCAGACGCCUACGGGAGGCAGCAGUGGGGAAUAUUGGACAAUGGGCGCAAGCCUGAUCCAGCCAUACCGCGUGGGUGAAGAAGGCCUUCGGGUUGUAAAGCCCUUUUGUUGGGAAAGAAAAGCAGCAGGUUAAUACCCCGCUGUUCUGACGGUACCCAAAGAAUAAGCACCGGCUAACUUCGUG
rnacentral:rRNA from 1 species